CGAGGAACCCCAACACACCUCUGGUGCAGCGUCUCGGCGUCCUGGCUAACAGUACUGUAUCAGCUGGUAGGUCCAGGUUCCAACAAAACGUGACAAGACACCCACUCUCUGCCUCAGAAAGCCACGGUUUAAGAAGCGACCCUGGGAACAAGAGAGGCAUUUGGUCUUCUGUCCUGUUUCAUCCAGCC
rnacentral:lncRNA from 1 species